GCCUCCGUGGCGGAAUUGGCAUACGCAUCAGACUUAAAAUCUGACGCCCUUACGGGCUUGUGGGUCCGAGUCCCACCGGAGGCACAA
rnacentral:tRNA from 3 species